AGUGGCACGUAGCAGAGCUGCAGCUCCGCUGUGUCUGGAUCUGGGUGCCGGGUACAGAGGAGGUGUGUGCAGCUUGUGAAACUGGAAUGAGCUAUAUGCUUUAAUAUACUCAUCUGCCAUAUUUCAGUAACAUCUUCAAAAUAAGAACCCUAUAAAAGACAAGGAAGGCGGCUUCUCUCUUUGCCUGCUCGCUCUCACCCUUGCCAGCAAGUCCAUUCCUGCACUGGCCUUAGAGCCCACUUCUUCAGGAUUCCAGCACAUUCCGAAGACCACCUGAGACAUGCAGCCUACUGGACUGAACAACUACUGGAUUCUUGGACGUUCCACUCAUAGGCCGCAUUGUUGGAUUAGUCGGACCACAGCCUCAAAGUCAUUCUAAUAAAUCUCCUUUAUAUCGAGAGCUUCACUCGGUGAGUCCUCUGGUGUGUAAUGAAGUUGGAGCUAUUGCUGAAGCCCUUGCCACAGUCGGGGCAUUUGUAGGGCUUCU